rnacentral:rRNA from 1 species
ACGGGUGAGUAAUGUCUGGGAAACUGCCUGAUGGAGGGGGAUAACUACUGGAAACGGUAGCUAAUACCGCAUAACGUCGCAAGACCAAAGAGGGGGACCUUCGGGCCUCUUGCCAUCAGAUGUGCCCAGAUGGGAUUAGCUAGUAGGUGGGGUAACGGCUCACCUAGGCGACGAUCCCUAGCUGGUCUGAGAGGAUGACCAGCCACACUGGAACUGAGACACGGUCCAGACUCCUACGGGAGGCAGCAGUGGGGAAUAUUGCACAAUGGGCGCAAGCCUGAUGCAGCCAUGCCGCGUGUAUGAAGAAGGCCUUCGGGUUGUAAAGUACUUUCAGCGGGGAGGAAGGCGAUAAGGCUAAUAACCUUGUCGAUUGACGUUACCCGCAGAAGAAGCACCGGCUAACUCCGUGCCAGCAGCCGCGGUAAUACGGAGGGUGCAAGCGUUAAUCGGAAUUACUGGGCGUAAAGCGCACGCAGGCGGUCUGUCAAGUCGGAUGUGAAAUCCCCGGGCUCAACCUGGGAACUGCAUUCGAAACUGGCAGGCUAGAGUCUUGUAGAGGGGGGUAGAAUUCCAGGUGUAGCGG